rnacentral:lncRNA from 1 species
AUAAGUAAUCUGAUCCUCGGAUUUAGACUCGGGUUUUUCAAAGACAUGUUUUUUUCAAAAAUUAUGGAGUCAUUUUUUAGGGUUUUCUUUCUUAUUUUAUUUUCCCUUUAAAAUAAAAAUAAAAUAAGUAGCGACUCCGACUUUUCCAAAAAUUAAUUUUUCACAAAUAAAAGCGAGUCUCGCCGAUCGAGUGGGGACACAUGUGAAAAAUGCGGGUCCACAGUAAGUAAUGGCCUA